UGCAUGCACUCUUGACACAAUAUGGGAAUACUUGAGUAAUGAAAAAGGAGUUUAAUUGUAAAAGCAUCCCAGCUGUGGGUGGAGUGGAGCAGCCAAGCAGGAUGGGUACACUGCAGGUGUCCUCAAUUAGUGGGAGAACAGGUGUGGCCCACAGGUGCUAAUGUUCCAGGGCCUAACACCGAGGGCUGUGGUUGGUUCUUUUUUUGGCAGAGAGUGUGCAGAGUGGUGUGUGGGGAGCACAGUUACAGCAUCAAGGUAAGGGAGGGGUGUCUUGGAGCUGCUUUUUGUUACUCCUUUUUCUAUUGUGUUUUAUUUCCAUUGUAAAUCCUGAAUUAAAUUUUUGGCUUCUGAGUGUGCAUGGAUGAUGACUUGCUGUUGGCUGUGAGAUCCUAGAGGAGUCUGCUGAUACUUGGCUUGCCCAGCCCGUGGGUGGGCCUGGGUACUCCCAACUGUGGGUACAAUUGGUGUCUGUUUUUUCCUCAUAGUAGUGAUAACAAGGACUUGGGAAAAAGCAGUGCUUUGUGUCACCAGGUAUUUAUCAGAGCCAAACUGUUUGGGUUGUUGGUCUGUCCAGGAGACUUAACUCUAAAGCAAACGUGCAGAAAGGAAUUCUGAGGUAUUAAACCAUAACUCUUUUCUGAUAAAAAUCCAGUGAUGCUUUAUAUUUGGCUUCAUCCUUGUGAGAGCGGAUGAAUCUGGAAAAAGGUAGAAGAUCGUGCUAAAAUGUAAUGUCUACAGGAAAGAGGAAGCUCUGCAUACAGCCAUGAGCAAAGCACAUUGAUGUUGACAUGUCCUGGUGUUUCUUACUCAGUUUGCGUCUGAGAGCAGUGGAAGGAAGACUCAGUGCGUGAUGCUGGAGUAUUAUGCAUCAUUUUACAGGCAAAGAUCAAACAUCUUUGUGUUUGCAAGGUUGGUUAGUCAGCUUCUGUGCAGAAACAGGAAAAGUGCUGACAAACUCAACAGAAGAAGUUCUGUCUUGUGAUGAAACAGCCCAUGUUCUAAUGACUGGUGACAGCAUGGAGAACUAAAAGUCUCACUCUGCAUAAAGAGUGGAUAUUAUCACACAAUAUGAAGACAAUGCAAAUAGUAAAGUCACUCCAGAAAUGCCAAUCUCUUCACCACUGAUCUCAAGGUAAUUUUCACCUAACUUUUUCUAAUAUUUGCCAGCUUCCUACAUUCAAUUGCUUUGUCAAAGCAGUUGGUGGUGUUAUAUUCCUUGGAAAGGUACAGCAAGGAAAAAA
rnacentral:lncRNA from 1 species